UACGUAGGGGGGCGAGCGUUUGUCCGGAUUUACUGGGCGUAAAGAGCGUGUAGGCAGCCAGACAGGUCCGUUGUGAAAACUGGAGGCUCAACCUUCAGACGUCGACGGAAACCGUUUGGCUAGAGUCCGGAAGAGGAGAGUGGAAUUCCUGGUGUAGCGGUGAAAUGCGCAGAUAUCAGGAAGAACACCGAUGGCGAAGGCAGCUCUCUGGGACGGUACUGACGGCUGAGACGCGAAAGCGUGGGGAGCGAACAGG
rnacentral:rRNA from 1 species